rnacentral:misc_RNA from 1 species
GGCAACGCCAAACUGGAGCUUCAACGGCUGCGAAUUCCAGUCGCAGAAACUCCACAAAGCCAAGGCGGCAAGCGAAGCCCUCAUCCAUCCACCUCAUCGGAUAAAGCUUUUCAAUUCAAAUCUUCGACGACGACAUGAAGAUAAUGGGACAUGCAAUUCUCUCUCACUUUCUCCUCCUCUCCAACUCCCCUCCGUGCCUGGCCUCUUUACCGUACUAUCUCUAUCUCCAUCUCAACUCUCUAAUAAUCAAUGCUGUUCACAUUCUAAUACAAUCUCAAGCAGAUCGCUUGAUGGAUUCCGACGAGAAUAUCUGCGAAGCUCGGAGCUAAUUCGUCAAAAUGCGCGAUGCUCUACUUCUUUCCGUUGCCACUCCAGUGUCUCACUCUCGGAGUCCGCUGCUUCGGAGAGUUCUUCGAGCUCUGUAAAGAAGAGGAUAGUUUCAGGAGUCCAGCCGACGGGAUCUAUCCACCUUGGGAAUUAUCUUGGUGCUAUAAAAAACUGGAUUGCUCUUCAGAAUACGUAUGAGACUCUCUUCUUCAUUGUGGACCUCCACGCAGUAUGUUUUUAGAUAGUCAAAGCCUCUUUAAGUUAAUCUAUUUCUGUGGGGCCAAACUCAGCAGAAUCUUCUGUUGCUCAUGUUCUAGUUUUCUAUUUAUCUGGGCUUCGUGAUCUCUAUCACUAUCAAUAUAUUUUUGUACACUUUUCUGAUUAUAUGUAGUCAUGGUGUUCUGAAAAUUUGUAUUGGUCAUCUUUGUGGUUCAUGUAAUUUGUGAACCUACAGUUAUUUGUAUACAUGCCAAUCAUAAUAAUUUGUUUUUGAGAUGGUAGGAUUACUUUAGUUGUGGAUGACGUGCUUGUGUCCUUGCCACUUGGUCUUAAACAAUGAACAGUGGGCUGUAGAUGCCAUUAUGCGUGGAGCUAGUAGCGUGAUGGAUCUUGGUAAGUAGGUGGUGAAGAGACUGAUGGUUUGAGUGAGCCAAUUAGAGAGAGGGCGAACAGUGAGGCAUGCAAUGUGGAGGUCAAACCAAAUUGCUAAAAUUCCUUGAUAUUAGAUAGGAUUAUGAGGAAUCCUGUUAUGUGUGGAAUAAUAUUGCCUGGUUUUCAUUUCUUAUGCGAGUUGAAGCUAGCUGUUUAGUUUAUUAUGAAUAUCAAUCAAAAUGUACUUCAGGAACUUUUUGUUAAAAUAUAACAUGAUUGUAUAUGCUUACUGGGCAUCUCAGCAAUUAUUCCAUUUUUUUCUGCUUAAAAGGUUUAGAGAAAAGAUAAAGCUUUGGGUUUGAGGUUGUUAUCACUGCUUCCUGGUUUAUGCAUUAAUGCUUAUUCAUUGCCCUGGAAUUGAGGAUUUAACUUUAUCUGUGAAACAUUUCCAUGUUUCGACUUUAAGAGUUCUUGCAUUGAAACUACCCUACAUGCCACAUCCAUUAUUACUUAAAUGAACUUACUGGUGGAAGUUUUUGGAGUGCCAACACAGCAGUCCCAAGUUUUGGAAAAAACAGAAAAAGCCACAUUUUUGUUUCACUGUGUUGUGGACAUGGCUUUUGACUGAAAAAUAACAACCAUCUGUGUUUAGGGAGUGAAGCUGCAUGACAGUUCUAAAUAAUUUUAAAUGAAAAAAAAGAAAAAAAAGAUAUUUAGGUGGAGACUGUAUUAUCUUGUUAAUCUUAUACACAAUCUUACCUUCUUGGUGUAACUGUUUUUUGGUACAACGGUUCAGUCCAUCUCAACUGCUGCAAAUUUCUUUUUAACUUACAGAUUACACUACCAUAUGAUACACAACAAUUAUUGAGGGCUACCAGGGAUACUGCAGCAAUUUAUCUGGCAUGUGGUGUUGACACUUCCAAGGCUUCUGUAUUUGUGCAGUCCCAUGUACGUGCUCAUGUAGAACUAAUGUGGCUUCUAAGUUCUGCCACACCAAUUGGUUGGCUGAAUAGAAUGAUUCAGUUUAAAGAGAAAUCUCGUAAAGCGGGUGAUGAAAACGUUGGGGUUGCCCUUUUGACUUAUCCUGUUUUGAUGGCAUCUGAUAUUCUUCUGUAUCAGGUGGUUUUUAAAACAUGCAGAUCUUUUAUAAUGCUAAUGAGAAGAAAUUGUGCUUCUUGGAAGUUUUUAUGCAAUAUUUAAUUUGUUUCUGCAAAUGAAUAAUAGAAGGUAGCGUUGGGAGCAAGAGGAUGGGUAUCCUAAAUUUUCAGUUGUAUAUGAUAGCUAUUAAUAGAGGGUGGCUUUGGUGUAGUGGUAAAGUUACUCCGCUUGUGACCUAGAGGACAUGGGUUCGGGCCAUGAAAAUAGCCUCUCUAGAAAGCAGGAGUAAGGCUACAUACAUCAAUAUUUCCCAGAGUCCAAAAGUGUGGGAUGCUUUGUGCUCAGGGUCACCGUUAUAUGAUAGGUAUUAAUAAACUGAUCAUAAGUAGAUUGGGAUUAGGUAGUUGAAUUGAGUUGAUUGUUAUGGGUUAAUAUGCAAUCCUGAUUAUUUAUUUGAUCUCGUAAACUCAAGACUUUUUUUAUUUUUUUUUGCUCAUUUACUUCUUUGUAUUGGUGAAUGAUGAUAAAUUGGUAAUCAAAUAUGCACAAUCCUCUAAUAUGCAGCAUGCCUCUGUAGUCUGACUUUGUCCCAGUUGGUGAGGAUCAAAAGCAGCAUCUGGAAUUGACCCGUGAGCUAGCUGAGCGCAUUAAUUACUUAUAUGGAGGAAGAAAGUGGAAAAAAUUAGGAGGGCGAGGAGGUGCUAUCUUUAAGGUGGAUUCUUCUUCUUGAUAUCUGGUUGACAAUCCUCGGAUGGGUUGGGUUGACGAAGUAACAAGUGAUAGUAGUAAUCUUUACUUAAUGCUUUUCCUAAUGUAGGUUCCUGAGCCUCUUAUACCACCUGUUGGAGCCCGAGUUAUGUCUUUGACAGAUGGUCUUGCCAAGAUGUCCAAGUCUGCAGCUUCUGACCAAUCUCGAAUCAAUCUUCUAGACCCAAAGGAUGUGAGUUGCCACCAUUUGCCUUUAUAUAGAUUUUGUUUCGAAUGUUGCAUUUUUAAAUGUAAUUAAACAUUAGUAGUGGUAAAUGCUGUGCAAAUCUUUUCUUCUUGGAGAGUUGAAGUAACAGCAGUGUGUUUGCACCAUUUGCCUCUGUAUGUAUUUCAUUUUGAAUGUUGUAUCGUUAAAUGUAUUAAACACUAGUAAAGGUAGAAGCUGUGCAAAAUCUUUUCUUCAUGGAGAGUUGAAGUAACAGUGGCAUGUUUCUCUGGUUGGGUAAAAUUUGCAUCUCAAUCCUCCUGAACCUGAAGUCAAUGGUAAAGUUACUAGUUUCUUUUUAAAACUUUCUUGUGUGCUUGCUGCAUACCUCUAAGUAGUGCCUUCUUUUCCAAGUUUUGAGUAAAUUCUGUCUACUUGAUGGUUGAUAUGGUCUUUUUGAUAGAUGGAUGGUAGACUAUGAUUCUCUAAUUUUUAUGGGUAUUUGAAACUUGAUACUUUGUUUUGAAUAAUUGUGCUGUUAUGAUAAUGUUGAUAACAAGUAUGUCAAAUCAAUAAGAAUUGUUAGGAAAUGUUAUGGUUUUUUUAAUUUCUCUAUGUUUUUUUUUCCUUUUUUUCUUUUUUUUUCUACUCUUGUUUGGAUAUAUGCUCAUUAUUGAUUUUUUUAUUUUUUCAUGAGUAAUUAAUAGACUAUGUCUAUUUUGUUUUUUGGAAUUUCAUUGUAUUCCUCUCCUUAAAUUUCAUGUGUUGUUAUUGUUGUUGUUGUUGCUAUUAUUAUUAUUAUUAUCAUUAGAAUUAGGCUGCUCAUACUGAGACAGAUUGUUCAAACUCACGCUUUUCCUCAUAGGGUCUACCUUCACCCUCACGCCAAACAGCAUGAUCUCUCCUCCUCCUCCUACGCCUCCGCCGACAGACACGGCUGCCGGCGAUGACUCGCCGGCGCAGGUGAAAGAGUUGUGGCCGUCGUUUGCCGACUGUGAACAGAAACUCGACAUCAUGAAUCAGGAAUUUAUUCGAGCUUAAUGGAGAAGACUCUGCAUAUAGAGAUAAUGUAUUUGUGUAUAUAUAUAUAUAGAAGACAAG